rnacentral:rRNA from 1 species
GACGAACGCUGGCGGCGUGCUUAACACAUGCAAGUCGAACGAAGUGGCGAACGGGUGAAUAACGCGUAAUCAACCUGCCCUUCAGAGGGGGAUAACAGUUGGAAAAGACUGCUAAUACCGCAUACUGCAGGCGGGUAUUGCGUUUGAUUAGCUAGUUGGAGGGGUAACGGCCCACCAAGGCGCGGAUCAGUAGCCGGUCUGAGAGGAUGAACGGCCACAUUGGGACUGGGACACGGCCCAGACUCCUACGGGAGGCAGCAGUGGGGAAUCUUCCGCAAUGGACGAAAGUCUGACGGAGCAACGCCGCGUGAGUGAUGACGGCUUUCGGGUUGUAAAGCUCUGUUAAUCGGGACGCGGUACCGGAAUAGAAAGCCACGGCUAACUACGUGCCAGCAGCCGCGGUAAUUC